UACAGAGGGGGCAAGCGUUGUUCGGAAUUACUGGGCGUAAAGGGCGCGUAGCGGCCGCCUAAGUCAGACGUGAAAUCCCACGGCUCAACCGUGGAACUGCUGGGCAUACUGCGGGUCUGGGCCAACUAGGGGCAGCCGGAACAAGCGGUGGAGCGGUGAAAUGCGUAGAUAUCGCUUGGAACGCCGAAGGUGAAAACAGGCUGCUGGGGUUGCGCCGACGCUGAGACACGAAAGCCAGGGGAGCAAACGGG
rnacentral:rRNA from 1 species